UUGCGACCACAUGGGCUGGCUGCGAUCUGUGUGAGAACGUCCGAUGCACCCGAUGGCUGACAUGCCGAGUUAGUGGAGACCCCUUGGAGAGUACAGAUGUUAGGUGUCUUGACAAGUGCCACAUAGCCCAAGCCCCGGAUGUGUGCGCCGUUGGCGAUCCCGCUGUUUACCUGACCGGAAGUAGGAAGGGUCAGCCGGUCAGGUGUACCACCAACAAUGACUGUAGGAAUGGAACAGAGUGUGUAACACCUGGCUAUUGCUGUCAGGCUGACUGUGCAACAACCACUACAGCACCAGGAACUACGUCAGCACCAAUAUUCACUACAAGACCAUAAACUACGUUAGCUACCAGCAACCACUACAGCACCAGGAACUACGUCAGCACCAAUAUUCACUACAAGACCAUAAACUACGUUAGCACCAACAUCCACUACAGCACCAGGAACUACGUCAGCACCAAUAUUCACUACAAGACCAUAAACUACGUUAGCUACCAACAACCACUACAGCACCAGGAACUACGUUAGCACCAACAACCACUGCUUCUCAGUAAGUCAAAUAAAAUGUUCCAUGUUUGGUGAUACACAGA